AUUUUGAAGGAAAGUUAUAAGGAAAGUCUUUCCCUUCAAAAUGUUACGGUUAAAUUGUCAUCAACUUUAAAUAGAAAAUUGCGAUCAACUUAACCACAACAAUUGUUAGGUAAAAAUUUUCUAGUAAGUUGUAUAUAAGUAAUUUCACCAAAAAAUAGGUUGGAAUAUACGCAAAUUAAGUGAUGAUAAAUUAUGGUUGCAUCUCUCAUUUACUACCAUUGAGGUUUAUUAGUUGGACAUUGUUAGUUACAAAGUAUUGAACAAGCAUUUGUGUUAGGAAGUGACUUAAUAACAAAAUCAAAAUGAAGAAAUAUAUGAUCAUGACCAAAGACUUUAAUUACAAAUUAAAUUAAAAAAAAAAAAAACGCUAUUUUGUAAGUUUCAAGAUAGGAUCAACACUGCAUCAAUUUAAAGCUAAGCCUUAUUUAGUCUCUGAUUUUGAGCGAUCAAUUGGGUUAUAUGAUGCAUUUGUCUACCAUUCUAAGAAUUGCAACUCGAGCACGACAGCUCGUUGUAAGAAUGUGUAAUUAUAAAUGUACAAGUACAGGUACUAAAAAUGUAUGAGACGUAACCGUCAGAAAUACAGUUUUGACAUUAUUUUGUCAUGAAAUUAGAAUACAAGUUACAGAAUACACUUAACAUAUAACAACUUUUCUUUCUAGAAACUUUAACAGAGUACCUAUGGAGGACAGAAUGUCUAUCUUCUUUGAGUGUACGUUAUAAAUAAACAUUUACAAACUCUCUUUCAAAAACUGCAUGUCAGAUUAAUCUUCGUAUUGUAUUUUGAAUAUUCAGUUGCAGAUGAUUGCAUUCAUAACAUAAACCUGUUUGCUGGCUUCCCCUUCUCUGCAUAAGUUUAUUUAUUUUACUUUCUUAAUUACCUAUGUUGUUCAUAAUUUGUUUUCUCGGUUUGUUUUUAUUUGCUGAAAAUUUCUUACAAACAUUUGUUCUCCAUGUGAUUUCGAACUGGAUUGGGCAUCGAACUGAGGGUGAUGAAAAGUUUCCGCUGCAUUCCAGGCGCCUUACUUAUGAUUUAUGUAAAGCUUUAUUGGAAAUGUAUCCCAACAGCACUGAGACUGAUGUAAAGAAUGCUAUACAAAAAGCAUUGAAGGCUGGGAAUUCCUGCAUUUAUCAACGCUGCAAAAAUAAGAUACAAUCUGAAGGACCAGCAGCCAAGAAAAGAAGAACAAGUGUUUCUAUUUUAAAUAGUACUUGGAUUCCAAUAGACGAGAGCUCAGAUGAAUAAAAUACUAAUAAAAGUACAAAGGAAAAG